CGCCAGCCUGUAACCAAUCCAGCUGCUCUGUACCUCACUUCCCAAUUUCUGUACGUUAUUUACCUUUUUUGUCUAUAAAUAUUCUUCCACCAUGUGGCUGCACUGGAGUCUCUGAAUCUGCUGUUUCUGGGGGCUGCCCAAUUUGUGAACUGUUCGUUGCUCAAUCUAGAAGAAAGGAUCUGAGUGACAGGCUUAGGUGCGUUGUCUGCGUCCCAGGAACAGAGCAAAGCACACUGGCUCAGGCAUGAGGAAGCCACACCCCAAUCCUGCCUUUCAGGUGCCAAUGGAGAACAACCCCUUCAGCGGAACCAUGGUGCUUUACAUCUCUCUCUGAACUCUCAGAUCUCCUAAGUGGAGAUGGCUGAUUAAGGCUCUUAUCUUUCACGUUCUAAAAUCAAUUUAGUGUUGUUCGGAGCCAGCAAUGUUAAAAUAUAUUUGUAUUUUGAAACAAAGUUAACAUAGAGAAAUGAAAAAUAAAAUGUUGAGAAUUUUACAUUUAAUUGCAG
rnacentral:lncRNA from 1 species